GCGGGGAUACCCAAGUCUGGUCCAACCCUUUUUGGAGAACAAUGUUUUUGCAAGAUUUGAAAUAUAUUACUACCAAAAAUGGUUACAGAUAAAGGGGCUAGGCUUAGGACCUAGUAGCUUAGUGCUUUCGUCGGUUCAAAUCCGACUCCCCGCA
rnacentral:tRNA from 1 species